rnacentral:rRNA from 1 species
GCUUGUCUCAAAGAUUAAGCCAUGCAUGUCUAAGUAUAAGCACUUAUACCGUGAAACUGCGAAUGGCUCAUUAAAUCAGUUAUAGUUUAUUUGAUAGUACCUUUACCUGGAUAACUGUGGUAAUUCUAGAGCUAAUACAUGCUAAAAACCUCGACUUCGGAAGGGGUGUAUUUAUUAGAUAAAAAACCAAUGCCCUUCGGGGCUCCUUGGUGAAUCAUAAUAACUUAACGAAUCGCAUGGCCUUGCGCCGGCGAUGGUUCAUUCAAAUUUCUGCCCUAUCAACUUUCGAUUGUAAGGUAGUGGCUUACAAUGGUUUCAACGGGUAACGGGGAAUUAGGGUUCGAUUCCGGAGAGGGAGCCUGAGAAACGGAUACCACAUCCAAGGAAGGCAGCAGG